GGUUGCGAUCAUACCAGCACUAAUGCACCGGAUUCUAUCAGAACUCCGCAGUUAAGCGUGCUUGGGCGAGAGUAGUACUAGGAUGGGUGACCCCCUGGGAAGUCCUCGUGUUGCAACCC
rnacentral:rRNA from 1 species